GUCUUUGUGGUGUAGUGGUCAGCACGCUCGGUGCAUAUUCGAGAGGUCCGUGGUUCGAGUCCCGGCAAAGGCA
rnacentral:tRNA from 1 species